GUGCUGCUGAACUAGAAUUUGUAUUUUCUGCAACUGGCUCCUCUAGGAUCUACUAAUGAUUUACAUCUAAAAGAUGAAGUUAGUAAAGCAUCAGAAAAAAAGAGUCCAUACCAUGGAAACAGAUUCCUCAUCAUUUAAGAAUACCAUAUGGUUGCUUAUAUAUGGGCAUGAAUUAAACAACUGGGUCUUUCAACAUUUUUGGAGAAGGCUAUUUCACGCUUUUAAAAUGAAUGUGCUCCUAUAAGAUCAGAUACUGUGUUGACCAGUGGUCAUGCCACCAUCUAUUUAUUUGUUGGAAAUAUUGUUCACACAGUAAGUUUGUCUCUAUUUACUGAGCCAUUCUUAAACAGCUCAUGUGUGUCUUGUCCUCUUCUAAACCUUUUAUAUAAGACCUUCCUUGUUAUUAUUCCUUAUUUUAAAUCAUCAAAAUGUAUUUGAUAGAUCCUUUAAAGGCCUGGAUGGUUAUGAAAUGCUUACAUUAUUGUUUUUCAAGGUUAUAUGAAGUUUCUUGACAGGUGAUUAGCAGAUUUCCCCGUUCUUCAAACGACCAUUUCACAUCUACCUGCAAAGGAGAACAGCAAUCAGAAAGGUGGUGUCUCCCAAAUCAUCCAAGCUAAGAA
rnacentral:lncRNA from 1 species